GCUGUCUGCUUAAUAUUUUAUGAUAUCGAUUUUUCGUCUCCUAACUGCUGAAAAGCAAGUAUCCAUUGAUCGACAAAAUACUGCGAUGCGGUAAGCUGUCACAGUGAUGGAAUCAAAACAAAUGGUUGCAGGACAUCAUCUUCGAAGUUGACACAAUUAAUUUUUCAAAUGUAGUAAGAUCUAAAAAUAGCCAUGGCUUUUCUUUGGGACACCGGAAGACAGAAACUGAGUGCUCUAUUGGCAGUUCUGGUUGUCAUAGAGAUCUUUAUCAUCUGUGUUGUUGUUCGCUAUGAGCACAAAUCGGCAAUUACGCAUGCGCUACUGAGACAAGAAAUGGAAGUUCGACGAGUCACGCCGCGAAGUAUCGACGGAAUAUAAAUACCUUAAUUGUUCCUCUGCAAUAAGAGAUUUAAAUUGUAUCUGUGCAACGAAUUUAGUUUGGGAUCACAGAUGGGAAACUAUAUUCACCCAAUGGCAUGCAGUAUUACAACUUAUAUAGACAGGACGGACAAAAUACUAUGCACUUAAACUUAACUUGCAAAAUUGAUGAUCAAAUAAAACCCUGAAUUUU